GACGAACGCUGGCGGCGUGCUUAACACAUGCAAGUCGAACGAAGUGGCGAACGGGUGAGUAACGCGUAAUCAACCUGCCCUUCCGAGGGGGACAAAAGUUGGAAACGACUGCUAAUACCGCAUACUGAAGGAGGGGAUUGCGUCUGAUUAGCUAGUUGGAGGGGUAACGGCCCACCAAGGCGCUGAUCAGUAGGCGGUCUGGGGGGAUGAACGGGCCCAUUGGGACUGGGAACCGGCGCAAAAUCCUACGGGGGGCAGCCGUGGGGAAUCUUCCGGCAUUGACGACAGUCCGACGGGGGAACGCCCCGUGAGGGAUGAUGGCCUUCGGGUUGUAAAGCUCUGUUAAUCGGGACGCGGUACCGGAAUAGAAAGCCACGGCUAACUACGUGCCAGCAGCCGCGGUAAUAC
rnacentral:rRNA from 1 species